AGGGUUAAUAAAUGGAGAAUUAGGAGAAAUUAAAACAUUACGUCUACAUGUCCAUAUAGACAGCGACAAUUGGGCUAUACUUAGUGAGAUUCACAUAGAAACUCCGGAAAAGAGGUGACCAGACGCUCCAAUGGCCUUCACCUUCUGCGAGUGUCCAAGCAUCUCGUGCCAGCAGUGACCAAGGCUCCAUGUAUGUUUCCAAUGUGUAUGAAAGUGAUACAAAAAGACAAAUGGGUGAAAGUUUUUAAAAAUGGCCGGUAGCAUUCUUGUUGAUAUUUAUUACUGGUAAUCAGAUAUUUUCGUAUGAGAAGAACAAGAUAUAUUCCAUAUAUUGUGCUGAGGAACUUUUUUAUACAGAAUAUAUAUAUAUAUACAUGUACACACAUUUGUAGGCAUAUAUGUUGCAAAAAUAUAGAUUGACAGUGAUCUGUGUCUACGGUCCUUAUCAGAGAGGGUAUAGGGCCCUAAUAUUUGAGAAAUCUCAUGUUCUAAGAGGCUGGAUGUCAUGUGAUAGAUAGUGUAUUUCACAAUAGAUCUGAUGGAUAAUAGACCUGUACGAUUUAAAGAUGAUGUAUAAAAUACUGAGAAGUUUGUAUCAUUUAUCAUAAUGUGUAAUAAUCUGGAUGGAUUAUUGCUUCAUUAUCAUGUGAAUCUCAUGACUUGAUAGCUGUAUUUAAUCAUUGCCUUCAGUUUUUUUUCUCUUAUAUUUUUUUUUUUCACACAGACAUCAUUCUCAGACUUUAUAUAAACCAACCCAACUGACCAAGUAUGUCCAUUUCUUGUGAAUGUUUCAUGCUAGAAAAAAUAAAUGAGGGAGAAAAAUGUUCGAGGCGAUAGAAGAUAAUAUGCAGUUGUGAUAGAGAGGAUGUUUCAUUCAAGAAGAGGUGUGAAUAUUUAUAUAUAUAUAAAACAUAUAGAUGCCUGGAGAUUAUAGAUAUUUAGUAAUUUGUUUCAGUCGGAAUCUCAGUUAUCCUUCAGAAGAGGAGGAAUUGUUGCUGUAUAAGGUGCUUCGGUAGAAUUAGAUUGUUAAGAAUAUGAAUCUGAUGUUACAGUGGGUCUGGUAGGUAACCUAGUUUUAUUUUGGUAUAUCCUUAUUUUAUUUAAGCAUAUCCCUAUGUGAGUGGUACACUUUGUUGUCAAUUUACAUUUAUUUAUUCAGCCAUGCUUUAUAAAGAUUAGUAUCAAGUCUUCAGUUCUUUUUCCAUAUUUUGUUUUGUAGAAAAAUAACUUAUAAAAUUCAUUCACAGCAGAUUAUCAUAUCCUCCCCUCCAUACAUAAAACCAUAAUUAUCUGCAUAUGUAUAUUUUGAAGCCACACUUCAUCAGUUGACGUUCAUCACACCUAAAUGAAUGGCAUUUUGCAUUUCAUCAGAUAUUACAAAGAGUGGUUAUGUAACCUCAAACGCAUUUUUUCGCCUCAGUCUUAUAGUUUGCCACAUGAUAUCAGUCAUCGCAUUGUAGUAUUUAAAGAACUAGUGUAACCACAUAGCUAGAGUGGCCUGAUAGUGCCUUUUAUAAGAUAUGAAACACUUGAUAUGAUGAAAUAACUUUUGUCUAGUUCCUGUUGUGCAAGAAAAUGAGACUGUAAAAAAAGGUGUUUUUAAUUAAGAUAAAGAAUAUAUAUCUUAAUUUUUGCUGCAAAGAUUGAAAGCAUUCAUACACAGAAAAACAAAUAGACAAAUCAAGAGAAAAAGAUAUUCUAGUGUUUCUGUACAAGAGCAAGGAAAGGUUUUUGUGAGUGGUAUCUGCCAUGUUAGGUUCUUGUAAAUAGAAUGUUUAUAUAGUGACAAGUUAUUUUGAUUUGGUGCUUCUAUUAGAUGUAUAGUAUAUUUUACUCUGGUUCUUAUUUGUAGCACCAGCAUGUUUAAGAGAGUAGAGAGAAAAUGGUUGCUGUCUGAGAAAAUUUAAUUUCUUUCCAUUGUGAAAAAAUGGGAAAAAAUAAUUGCAUCAGAGUCUAUUUGUAAUAUUCUGUAUCUGUGUUUAGUUGCAUUUUAAAGAAAUAAGAGUAGCAUUAGAGUAUAUGAAAUUUCAAUGCUUUAAUGCAAUAGAUUUGUUUAGAUUAUAUACAGCAAAGAAUAUAAAUAUAGUUUGGAACAUUUCUGUUUGGGAAUCAAAAUUUGCUGUUCGUAUUACUUAUAUAAUUACACAAUGGGACUAAAUGUACUUAUAGAUUUUAUAGAGGUAUAUACUGAGAGAGAAAAAGUUGUACAGUGGUUGAUUUCUGUAAUUUGUUAUUUAUUAUUCUCAUUAUCAUUUUAAAGAGGUGCUUUUAGGUAUUUUUCUUAUAAAGGAGGCUUUGGCACAACAUAUUUUGAUUUCAAAAAGCUGAAAAAAGGUAACAAUGAAAAGUUUCCAUAGCUUCAUAGAGGAUCACUUCAUACACAAUUUAUUAUUUUGAAUUGCUAUAUACUUAACAUACUGAGUUACGUCAAGCAUUCAUAUGUCUAUUUUUUAAUGAAAUAUAGUUAUUUUUAAUCGCCCUUCCUCUUUGUUUUUUUGGGAGUAACAUAGUGUUUUUUGAAUAAUCUGUUAUUCAGUACUUAGAUUUUAUUAACUAAUACCUAUUUCUUUCAAGGGCUAUCUUCUUUCUGUAAGUGUUAAGUUAUGGCAUAUAUGUACUUAAGAAUUUAGGAAGAAAAAGUUAUAUGUAUUCAGAUAUUUUAACACAGGUAUAUAUAUAUUUUUUGUUAUUAACAGAUUAACUUGCACAUUUUGAAUAACUGGGACACUAUUUCUACUUGGUUUAUUUCCUUCUUCCUUUCUUCUUUCAUUCUUGUAGCAGAAACUUUCAUUUAUGAUUUAACUUUGUAUAAAGGGUUCAAAAUUUUUGAAUGAGUUUGUUCAUAUUUGGAAUUCAGCAUAGAUGGUGCCAAAUGUCUCACUUUGUUUCUAAUAAAACUAUAACAAA